GAGUAGAUGGCGAAAUGGUAAACGCAUUAUAUUCAAAAUAUAACGAAGUUUAAUUCUUGUGGGUUCGACUCCUUCUCUACUCA
rnacentral:tRNA from 1 species